rnacentral:RNase_P_RNA from 1 species
UCAGACGGUCGGAUGGCCGCCUUCCGGGCAACCGGGGGGAGGAAAGUCCGGGCUCCACGGAAACAUGGUGCCGGGUAACGCCCGGCGGGGGCGACCCUAGGGAAAGUGCCACAGAGAGCAGACCGCCCGCCCCCUGUCUUCGGACAGGCGGCAGGUAAGGGUGAAAGGGUGCGGUAAGAGCGCACCGCGGUCCCGGCGACGGGAACGGCACGGUAAACCCCACCAGGAGCAAGACCGAAUAGGGAUGGCACGCAGGUUCGCUUUGAUGCGGGCCGGCAGGCGGGUUCCGCGCCGCCGUCCGGGUUGGUCGCGCGAGGCGUCCGGUAACGGGCGCCCCAGAUGAAUGGCCAUCCCCCGCCACCCGCGCGCAAGCGCCGGCGGGGACAGAACCCGGCUUACAGACCGCCUGACCCC